GGUGGUCAUGUGCUGCCAACAUACCGCUGUGCCAGAGGUUCCACUUCCCUGGAGAAUUUUCAUUUACAUAUGAAUAGAUUCAGCCCAGGAACCCUAGCAAGUGCCACCUUUUUUAAGGCCUAUCUGGUCGAUGGGCUUGCUAGGUGGAAUGAAGACAGGACCAUGACGGCAGAAGGGAUACGAGGACCACACUCAUACAGUGGCCUUCUUAGGCAUGCUGCCAACCAGCUGUCAGAGGAGGUGCUUGGGAGAAAGCUGGUGGAGUACACAGCCCCGAGGACAUACACCGGUUUGCAUGAGAGCUUAUAGGUAUUGAAUACUUAUACAGCCAAAACAACACUGCCAUGGAGGACUACAAGUUGGCCCUCACAACACUGGAGACAGAGGAUGUCAGUGUUGCAGAGGGGGAAUCUCAGUUGGACUCAUUUCAACUAGAAGAUCCAACUGUUUCUGCACUUGAAACAGUAUGGCCCCCACAGCUCUGCCCUCCAUCACCUGCUCCCACAGCACUGCCUGCAACUCCUGUGUCAGUGUCAAUGCAACUAUCCCCCGUUGAACCAUCACUGGUCACUAUGUCGAGUGCUCAUUGCCCUGUGGGAGUGUUUGUCAGAAUUUGACAAAUCCCGCACCAAAUACCCUCCUCGCUACCAAGACACCAUCCCCGAAGGUAGAUUCAGGACCACCAAAACAAUUGUUGCGCCUGGCAUAGACAGCACAAAGCGAUCCUUUGCUGGAGGGGAAGCCCUGCACACUGGCCUAACUGCAACCGUCUGUGAGGCACUUUUUGUGUUACUCUGUGAGGAGUACAGAGGACCCAGGCGGAUUGAUGGCAGUAGGCAUGAGCGGUGGAGUCUCGUCACUAAAGCGUACCUCCACAUUAAGGAGGUACUACAAUUGGACAAAGAAACAGGAGAAGACAAGGUAACAAGGUAUCUCUCCUCCCGAAGCCACAGUUGUGAGCCCAG